rnacentral:rRNA from 1 species
ACGGAAGGCAGCAGUGGGGAAUAUUGGGCAAUGGGCGAAAGCCUGACCCAGCAACGCCGCGUGAAGGAAGAAGGCCUUCGGGUUGUAAACUUCUUUUACCAGGGACGAAGGACGUGACGGUACCUGGAGAAAAAGCAACGGCUAACUACGUGCCAGCAGCCGCGGUAAUACGUAGGUUGCAAGCGUUGUCCGGAUUUACUGGGUGUAAAGGGCGUGUAGGCGGAGCUGCAAGUCAGAUGUGAAAUCCCGGGGCUCAACCCCGGAACUGCAUUUGAAACUGUAGCCCUUGAGUAUCGGAGAGGCAAGCGGAAUUCCUAGUGUAGCGGUGAAAUGCGUAGAUAUUACUCAGAACACCGAUUGCGAAGGCAUCUCACGAAUCCGUCAUUGACGCUGAGGCACGAAAGCGUGGGGAUCAAACAGGAUUAGAUACCCUGGUA